UAUUUGCCAGCGAGUAAUGUCGGGAACUUUAAGGAUACUGCCAGUGACAAACUGGAGGAAGGCGGGGACGACGUCAAGUCAUCAUGGCCCUUACGGCCAGGGCUACACACGUGCUACAAUGGUCGGUACAAAGGGUUGCUACACAGCGAUGUGAUGCUAAUCUCAAAAAGCCGAUCGUAGUCCGGAUUGGAGUCUGCAACUCGACUCCAUGAAGUCGGAAUCGCUAGUAAUCGCGGAUCAGAAUGCCGCGGUGAAUACGUUCCCGGGCCUUGUACACACCGCCCGUCACACCAUGGGAGUUUGUUGCACCAUGAAGUAGCUAGCCU
rnacentral:rRNA from 1 species